UUCCAAAUGAUUUGAAAAUCUUCAAAUCGGCAUUAUCUGACAUGUACAGUCAUUGAGUUCUUGGGAGAAUAUCUGAGAGAUAAUAGCAUCAGGAAUGUAAUCAAUUUACAAUCAAAAGUAUAGUAAUUUGGUGCCACAGUGAUCAAUACAACGCAUAUGAACAGAUCAAUACAUCUGAACCGUAUAGUGUUACAGCAUAACAAAAAGGCCAAUCUCUCAACAGUGCUUGUUUGUUGGUUACACCGUCAGACAUGUCAACAAUGAGAUAUUGCUGUAACCGUUUUCGCUAAGUUCCUACAAUAUGUAGCUAGCUUUCUCCUAUUUCUACAAUAUGAACAAAAAUGUGGAAUACAUGGACAGACUUGGACGUGUAUCUCAUGUAACUUCAACACCACACCAUAUUUCAUGGACAUGUUGUAACAAAUCUUACUAAGAUACUAACUCAUGRCCAAUCCAGUUUGGGGGGAGGGUUACCUUCUUUGUUUUAAGACAUCAGGCCAGUAUGGCAUACCGUGACUACCUACUCCUACAGUAACAUGAUCUAAAAUUCAAACAAUCACUUCUACAAGAUUGUGCAAGUGUCUAUAUUAGUCUUGGUAGAUACUUGACUAUUUCCUUUGUGGCCACUGGUCAGCAACUGCCAGUUAAGAGAGUUCCUAACUUGUUAGGAGUCCUAAUUAGCAUGUAUAGCAUCUGCAAAAAUAGAAGGGGAAAAAAACUGGAGAAUAACAUGGCCAGCAGUAGUUUCAGAGUURCCCCUUGCCUUCCACGGCUGGGGUAGAGAACAGAGAAAACGGUUGAACAUUUAAUCCCUUUCAUGAAGAGGCUUAAAAAGCUGAAAUGGUAACAUUAUUGUCACACAGAAAAAAAUGUUUGUUUUACAGAGUCCCAGUUUGAUGUUUUUCCUCUCCAGUUCUCAAUAGGCUUGUGUUGCCAGAGAUAAACCAGCUAAUGUCUCUCCCCUGAUUCUCUCUGGGGAGAGCUGGGGCACUGGGGUAAUUCUGACAAACACUCCUUUCUUUACAAAGUUGUGUGUGUGUGUCGCUGGUGUGUGUGUGUGUGUAGGGAGAGGUGGCAUUACAGAGAGGGGCAAGGAAGAGAGACAAAAGGAGACAAAACCGUACUAAGAAGAGCGGUUGUGAACUUCAUUCAUGAAUCCCUAUAUACGUGGCUCACUGAGGCUACACAUCUUCAUGCAUGGAGGAUUACCAUUAUCUGCUCAGUAUGUGUGAAAGUGGAGAGAUUAUCUCCUUGAUUAUUUGCCUAGUCGAUAAACAAAAAAAGGCAGUCCCUCCCCCUAAACUGGUUGAAUAGGGCACAGUCAGAGCACUGUGAGAGGAAGAUUGUACUAAAUGACAUGGACUCUCAUAGUGGAGCGCCCAGUCCAUGUUCCGCUGUGACGAAUACAACAUAAGGAUUAGAUAGACGUUCCCUGAGCACAGUCAGCCCACUCUCUCUUUGUCCAGAGAAACAAACUCAGCGGAUGGGAAUCUCACGAGAGGAAGAAGCAGGGCUGAGAAUAGAUAGCGGGAGAAUCUCAUCUCACCAGCCAAUGGAGUGGUAAUAAGUCAGAAUAGACUAGAGCAGCUUCAGCAGUUGAUCACAGAGGGCAGCUCUUAACAUUGAUCUAUAGGAGUGUAAAGCACUGGGAGAAUCAUGAUCAUAUCAAUCAUGUAAACAUGARGCCRCAWUUUACAGCUCGGCAUUCUGGGUGAAGGGUAAAUAAGRUGUGCACUGUAUGGCACUAAAACCUGUCAAAUCAGGGAUGAGAUGUGGGCAAUUUCCAGCAUCGGAAAUUAACCGUAAAUUAUUAAGAAAAAGUACCUCUGGUUUCUCUGGAGAGACCCCUCACAAACAUCUAUUACGUUUUUAAAGAAGCACUAGAGAGAACAUUACAUCAACAGUUCAUAAAUACACGUGUAACAUUGAGGCAUUUCUUUCCGCUAGUUUGACAACUAUCAUUACUGUUCACUAAGACUUGCCAUGUAAAUCUACCAUCAUGUACAAUGAAAAUACAAGCAAUGAGUACACGCGAGACAACAAAAGAAAUGCACGGUGAAGAAACAAACAAA